rnacentral:rRNA from 1 species
CACGUAGGGGGCAAGCGUUGUCCGGAUUCAUUGGGCGUAAAGAGCUCGUAGGCGGUUCGAUAAGUCGGGUGUGAAACCUCCAGGCUCAACCUGGAGACGCCACCCGAUACUGUCGUGACUAGAGUCCAGUAGGGGAGCGUGGAAUUCCUGGUGUAGCGGUGAAAUGCGCAGAUAUCAGGAGGAACACCGGUGGCGAAGGCGGCAUCCUGGACCAACACUGACGCUGAGGAGCGAAAGCCAGGGGAGCAAACGGG